rnacentral:rRNA from 1 species
GUGAAAUGCUUAGAUAUUACAUGGAAUACCAAUUGCGAAGGGCAGGUUGCUACUGGUGGAUUGACGCUGAUGGACGAAAGCGUGGGUAGCGAACAGGAUUAGAUACCCUGGUAGUCCACGCCGUAAACGAUGGAUACUAGCUGUUGGGCGCAAGUUCAGUGGCUAAGCGAAAGUGAUAAGUAUCCCACCUGGGGAGUACGAACGCAAGUUUGAAACUCAAAGGAAUUGACGGGGGCCCGCACAAGCGGUGGAGCAUGUGGUUUAAUUCGAUGAUACGCGAGGAACCUUACCAAGGCUUAAAUGUAGGUUGACCGUUUUGGAAACAGAACUUUCGCAAGACAAUUUACAAGGUGCUGCAUGGUUGUCGUCAGCUCGUGCCGUGAGGUGUCAGGUUAAGUCCUAUAACGAGCGCAACCCCUGUUGUUAGUUGCCAGCGAGUCAUGUCGGGAACUCUAACAAGACUGCCAGUGCAAACUGUGAGGAAGGUGGGGAUGACGUCAAAUCAUCACGGCCCUUACGCCUUGGGCUACACACGUGUACAAUGGCCGGUACAGAGAGCAGCCACCCCGGAGGGGGAGCGAAUUACAAACCGGUCACAGUUGUAUCGGAGUUGUAAUGACUCCGUGAAAGUGGAAUCGUAGUAAUCGGAUAUCAGCCAUGAUCCGGUGAAUACGUUCCCGGGCUUGCACACAC